UACGAAGGGUGCUAGCGUUGUUCGGAAUCACUGGGCGUAAAGGGCGCGUAGGCGGCCAUUCAAGUCAGAGGUGAAAGCCCGGAGCUUAACUCCGGAAUUGCCUUUGAAACUGUAUGGCUUGAGUGUCGGAGGGGAUAGCGGAAUUGCUAAUGUAGAGGUGAAAUUCGUAGAUAUUAGCAGGAACACCGGUGGCGAAGGCGGCUAUCUGGACGACAACUGACGCUGAGGCGCGAAAGCGCGGGGAUCAAACAGG
rnacentral:rRNA from 1 species